CAUUUUUAUGCAUGUGUAUGUGAUAGUUCUUGUAAGUGUAUAUGUACAUACAUGCACACACACACACACACACACACACACGCUCACAUA
rnacentral:miRNA from 1 species